rnacentral:rRNA from 1 species
UACGAAGGGGGCUAGCGUUGCUCGGAAUGACUGGGCGUAAAGGGUUCGUAGGCGGCCAACUAAGUCAGACGUGAAAUCCCUCGGCUUAACCGGGGAACUGCGUCUGAUACUGGAUGACUUGAGUUCGGGAGAGGGAUGCGGAAUUCCAGGUGUAGCGGUGAAAUGCGUAGAUAUCUGGAGGAACACCGGUGGCGAAGGCGGCGAUCCUGGACCGGUAUUGACGCUGAGGCGCGAAAGCGUGGGGAGCAAACAGG